UUGCUGCUUGUAUUUAUAACAUUGUCAAAGAACUACUAAAAAGAGAUAUAGUUUACCUGCCAAUUAAAGCACGUCCAUUAACUGAAUGUUUUAGCUAGGAGGAAUGAGGCAGUCUCUGCAGCAGUGUAACAAGAAAUAAAGACCAACUGUGAAGUACAACACACUGAGGGUUGUUGACACUCAGCUGUUCACCUAGUGUCUCCAAAGACACAAUGGGCCAGUAUAAGUGAGAAGCAUAAAGUCAAGCACUGGCACACCAGUCGAGAAUGAAAGGGAAGAGAAGGCUUUGAGAAGAAGUCAGCCAAUCACAAACUGAUCGGACCUCCAUCCAGGACACCACCACCACAGCAGCGGCCGCUAUGUGAAGAGGACAUAAGUGCUGCAACUGACUCGUGACGGCCCAGUUCAAUAGCAGCAUCAACACUAGACACUUCAUUUGUAUUCUCUAUGGAGCAUAGACUUGGGAUUGUUUGUACUGAUGAAGACUCAUUAUUUUAUGUCGCUCUUUGCUUGUGAUGCAUCUGUGUAAUUGCAAAAGUUAAGUGUUGUAAUCUUCUUUUUGUAA